GAUGAACGUUGGCGGCGUGCCUAAUACAUGCAAGUCGAACGGAGAUUGUAGCAAUACGGUCUCAGUGGCGAACGGGUGAGUAACGCGUUGGUGACCUGCCCCGAAGUGUGGAAUAACAGAUCGAAAGAGCUGCUAAUACCGCAUAAUAUCCAGAGGAUUAGAUGCCUUUGGAUUAAAGGAUUUAUUCGCUUCGGGAGGGGCCUGCGUCCCAUCAGCUAGUUGGUAAGGUAAUGGCUUACCAAGGCGAUGACGGGUAGGGGACCUGAGAGGGUGGCCCCCCACAAUGGAACUGAAACACGGUCCAUACACCUACGGGUGGCAGCAGUAGGGAAUAUUAGUAAUGGGCGAAAGCCUGAACUAGCAACGCCGCGUGUGCGAAGAAGGCCUUCGGGUUGUAAAGCACUUUUUGAGAGGAUGAGGAAGGACGGUACUCUCAGAAUAAGUCUCGGCUAACUACGUG
rnacentral:rRNA from 1 species